rnacentral:lncRNA from 1 species
UAAUAUAUUUUGAAAUAUGAUAAAAAAAAUAGGGCUAAUUUCGUACAGGUCUCUGCAAAUAUAGUAAAUUACAAAUAUAUUCCUAUAAAGUUCAACUUUCAUAUGUUGUUCCUGCAAAAAAGUUCUAAUAUUUUAAAAUAUGUUUCUCUAAUUUCUUACCGUUGUAGAACUAUUUAUAUCUUAAGUGAAAUGUCAAGUUAUCUUAUAAACUUAUCAGAGUUAAGUAUUUAACCUAUGUUUAACUAAGAUUUUUUUUUAACGGAUUCUAACGGUAGGAAUAUAUUUGAAAAUUUAGGACUUUUGUAGGAACAAUAUAAAAGUUGAACUUUGUAGAGAUAUAUUUGUAAUUCAUUAUAUUUGCAGGGACAUGUAUGAAAUUAAUUAGCCCAAAGAAAUAAUUACUUCCGAUUCCAAUUUUCGGGAUCCUGCUCGG